UACGUAGGGUGCAAGCGUUACUCGGAAUUACUGGGCGUAAAGCGUGCGCAGGCGGUUAUGUAAGUCAGAUGUGAAAUCCCCGGGCUCAACCUGGGAACUGCAUUUGUGACUGCAUAGCUAGAGUACGGUAGAGGGGGAUGGAAUUCCGCGUGUAGCAGUGAAAUGCGUAGAUAUGCGGAGGAACACCGAUGGCGAAGGCAAUCCCCUGGACCUGUACUGACGCUCAUGCACGAAAGCGUGGGGAGCAAACAGG
rnacentral:rRNA from 1 species